GACGAACCGUGCGAACGUUGUUCGGAAUCACUGGGCUUAAAGGGCGCGUAGGCGGCCGCCCGAGUCCGGGGUGAAAGGUCUCGGCCCAACCGGGACAGGGCCCCGGAUACCGGGCGGCUCGAGGGGGGUAGGGGCGGCCGGAACUUCCGGUGGAGCGGUGAAAUGCGUUGAUAUCGGAAGGAACGCCGGUGGCGAAAGCGGGCCGCUGGACCCCAUUCUGACGCUGAGGCGCGAAAGCCAGGGGAGCGAACGGG
rnacentral:rRNA from 1 species